UACAGAGGUCCCGAGCGUUGUUCGGAUUCAUUGGGCGUAAAGGGUGCGUAGGUGGCUGAGUUAGUCGGAUGUGAAAUCCCGGGGCUCAACCUCGGAACUGCAUUCGAUACUGCUCUGCUUGAGCACUGGAGAGGAGACUGGAAUUUACGGUGUAGCAGUGAAAUGCGUAGAUAUCGUAAGGAAGACCAGUGGCGAAGGCGAGUCUCUGGACAGUUGCUGACACUGAGGCACGAAGGCCAGGGGAGCAAACGGG
rnacentral:rRNA from 1 species